rnacentral:rRNA from 1 species
CUGAUCCCAUUCCGAACUCAGUCGUGAAACGGUUCUGCGCCGAUGAUACUUUGGGGUUCCCCCAUGGGAAAGUAGGACACCGCCAGGC